rnacentral:lncRNA from 1 species
AUUGUGACACGGCCCCUCCCCCUUAGACAAGCCCACACCUCUCAGCGCCAGAAAGCUCCACCCCUCUCCCAGCUCCACUCCCUCUCCCACCCAGACCCCCUCCAUAGGCCACUGUGCCCCUUAGUGCCAGAAAGCCCUACCCCAUAGAUAGCUCUGCUCCUCAGCACUAGGCAGUUCCAGCCCCCCCAACUCCAGUCCCCUCCACCCCACACACCCCCUAGCACUGGACCACCCCAGUCUCUUCACUCCCACUGCCCUGGGCAGCUCCAGCUCCUCCCACGCUCCAGACCCCCGCACCCUAACUUACAUUGCACCAGGCCCCUUCCACUUCCUAGGCCUGCCCAGUACCUGCUUUUGCCCUCUCGGGACCCCUAGCCUCUUAGCCUCAGCUUCACCCCCCCUCCACCAUUUCCUUGCUGUAAGGUGCUAGGCACCUUAUGGCCCUGGGUAUUACCUUCUGCCCACUUCAGUUGCCCACCUACAACCCCAGCUCCUUGCCCUUCUGCACUUCUAGGCAGCUACCAGAGACUUCCUGGGAGGAAGCGGAGGCCAGGCCUGCCACAUGGCUGGUGCUACCAAGUCCUCGUGCAGUCAGGAAGAGGAGGGACGUAAGAAGCAGCAAAGCCAUCAAGGGAAAGGAGCAGGAGUUCCACAGCAGGAUGGUUCCUGGAUGAAUAUUGCUUACACCCACUCACAAGUGUCCAGAGCCUCUGCUGAGCGGGAGAACCAUCUUCAGGCACCAAGGAAAAAGGUGGAAAGCAGGAGAGUGGACCAGAAGAACCCUCCGUUUGAGGACUUUAAGGGAAUUCCGAUAGAUCAAGACCCCAAAGAUGCUAAAUCUCAUCAACGUUCCGUGAAGAAUCAGAGAGCCUUUGUUUACCAGCCCAGCUCAACAGAACAUGCUCAAGGAGAUCCACCGCCAUUGGCCAAGCUGACCGUAGCACCAGCUGAAAAAAGAGAGCAGUGCGACAGCUCAGAGGCUCCGUCUGAGAUCAAAAGUCCGAGGCGGAUGCAGCCCCUUGCCAAGAGCACACAAACUGAAGAAUGCUCUCCAAAGCAGACCCAGCCGCCCUGCUUCCCAGAUGGCAGAGGGAACAGGAGCAGCUCUGGGCUUGAGAAGAGGAACUGUCCCCCUCCACUGGGAGGAGCAGGAAGGAAGUGGGCUGAGGGCUCUGAAGUGGAGCGUGAAGAGGAACUGAAAGAGCUUGGUUGGAUUAACUAUGGGUUCACUACGGAGCCAGUGUAUAAAAAGCUUGAUUGUCCCGUGGAGGAAGGAGUUAAAGUGAGGACUGUAACAGAUGUUAGUUAUAAAGAUGACCACCGCAUGUACUGCUUUGACUAUGGAAACAGACAUUAUUACCAACCUAAGAAAGAUCAUGAGCGAGCCUACAUGAUGAAGCUGGCAGAAAGCUCUGAGAAGGUGAUUCAGCAAAACCUGAGAGAAUUCUUUGGCCUGCUGAGGAUCUUGGUGAACGUGGUCUUCAUUUUCCUUGUUGAGCUGGUCCGCUUUCUUGGCAAGUCAGUGUUCCAGGUGAGUAGGGCCCUUCCCAGAGCUCCAAUGGCCUCCCUGCUCCUAGAAAGGCUCCUAGGAGGAUCAGAUUGUAAUGGUAGUGUUCCUUCAUCAUCGAUGCAGGGUAUUACCAUGACACUGAUUUAACCUCACAUUCCUUUGUUAAAUCUAGAGACCGAAAUGUCUCUAAACAUGCCUAACUAAUAAGCAAUUUACUACAUCCAAAUGGUAACAAAACAUUUACAAGCAUUUGAGCAAGAUACUUACAAAUGGGCUAAACCCCGGGGUGCAUAAACCCAUGAGGGUUAGCUCCAGUGUGGUCAGGCAGGUAUCUGCAAUGAAACCUUUAAAAGUUUACUUUUCUGCACAGUUUAACAAACAAGUGAUGUCAUUGCCAACUAUUGGAUCUUAGCUAAGGCCAGAUGAAAGAAUUUCUUAUAUAUCCAAUUAUUUACUGUACCUGGUACCCAAUUAACUAUGUCUUAUUUCUGUUACUUUAGCCCAAACCUUAAAUAAGAGAAAACCGGUUUAACACACUAGCUCUUCUUUCUUAUGACCUCAUCCUUUUUGAUCACAUGCCUUUGGUCUAUCCCAACUCAAUUUAAAACCAUAGUCCACCAGACAUAAUGUGGGACUGUAAUGGUAGAGGUGGACACAACUUCAAUCCUCUGAAGGAAACAGGAUGUUCUCCAGAACAUUCCUAGGAGACUAGAAUUGAUGCUACAGGGCGUGACGUUAGGUUUGUGGGUGGAUGAGGAGGAGAAAUGGAAAACUCCUCAAAAAUGAAAGUCCUGCUUCUGCUUUAUCAACAUGGCUUCUUUUUAAGUAAUUGCCAAACUCUAAUCAAAACAUGCUUUUCUGUGCUGUUUGGGUAUGCGGGAGAGGGUGAAUUCUGUGUGAGUGAAGCCGUGUGGCCGGUGGAGCCUCUGCCAUCUCAGUGGGGAGAGGUUUUCCUUGAGCAGACCCUCUUGCAGUAGAUCUUCCAUGAGGAGUGUAUGUAUCCCACUUUCUCCUUCUAUAAGUGCUGGUUCCUUUGUAACCAAGCCCUAGCCUAAAUAGUGAAGUCAACAACUCCCAGUGGAGGGGGUGGGGUACAUGGGGUCCAGAGAUACGUUGGCCUUCAGGGAGCACAACUUACUUUUCUAUAUAGAAAAGAGGAUAACCCCUGUAGAGCCCCUGGUUUUUGAGGCCAAUGGCCUUUGCUGCAUAGCCUCAGGAACGUUCUCAAAGUCUGAGACGCUACUGGAACUCCUCAUCCCUUUGAGAGAAGAGUGUGUUCUAGGAAUUGGAGAGCUCAGGGACCUCCAGCAUUGGCUAAUUUUACCUGCAUAGUUGGUUUUGGGAGCCAAAUAAAUUGAUUCAUAAAAGAACUGUCCA